rnacentral:tRNA from 2 species
GGCCCGUUGGUCAAGCGGUUAAGACACCGCCCUUUCACGGCGGUAACACGGGUUCGAAUCCCGUACGUGUCA